UACGGGGGGAGCAAGCGUUGUUCGGAUUUACUGGGCGUAAAGGGCGCGUAGGCGGCGUGGCAAGUCACUUGUGAAAUCUCCGGGCUUAACUCGGAACGGUCAAGUGAUACUGCUGUGCUAGAGUGCGGAAGGGGCAACUGGAAUUCCCGGUGUAGUGGUGAUAUGCGUAGAUAUCGGGAGGAACACCUGUGGCGAAGGCGGCUUUCUGGGCCCUACCUGACGCUGAGACGCGAAGGCCAGGGGAGCAAACGGG
rnacentral:rRNA from 1 species